rnacentral:rRNA from 1 species
AGUGAACGCUGGCGGUAGGCCUAACACAUGCAAGUCGAACGGCAGCACAGGAGAGCUUGCUCUCUGGGUGGCGAGUGGCGGACGGGUGAGGAAGACAUCGGAAUCUACCUUUUCGUGGGGGAUAACGUAGGGAAACGUACGCUAAUACCGCAUACGACCUACGGGUGAAAGUGGGGGACCGCAAGGCCUCACGCGGUUCGAUGAGCCGAUGUCCGAUUAGCUAGUUGGCGGGGUAAUGGCCCACCAAGGCGUCGAUCGGCGAGUUGGUCUGAGAGGAUGAUCAGCCACACUGGAACUGAGACACGGUCCAGACUCCUACGGGAGGCAGCAGUGGGGAAUAUUGGACAAUGGGCGCAAGCCUGAUCCAGCCAUACCGCGUGGGUGAAGAAGGCCUUCGGGUUGUAAAGCCCUUUUGUUGGGAAAGAAAUCCUGUCGAUUAAUACUCGGUGGGGAUGACGGUACCGGCAUAAGAAGCACCGGCUAACUACGUGCCAGCAGCCGCGGUAAAAC